CUGAAUUGCUCCCUUCUGGACUCCUUGGUGUCCCUUGGGUUCUCAGUAGUCUCCCAAAGGCCUCUCUAUGGGUCCAACUGGAAAAAAAAGAACAGGAACCUGCUUGGGAAAAUGACGUGUGGAACUUCAGGCAGAAGACAUCAGAAAAACUCUUCCUAAGUACAAAUGAAAUAUUUGCUUAA